UACAGAGGGUGCGAGCGUUGUCCGGAAUCACUGGGCGUAAAGGGCGCGUAGGUGGCGACCCAAGUCCGUGGUGAAAGCUCGUCGCUUAACGACGAGUCGGCCACGGAGACUGGGUGGCUCGAGCACUGUAGGGGCAGAUGGAAUUCCGGGUGUAGCGGUGGAAUGCGUAGAGAUCCGGAAGAACACCAGUGGCGAAGGCGGUCUGCUGGGCAGUUGCUGACACUGAGGCGCGAAAGCUGGGGGAGCGAACGGG
rnacentral:rRNA from 1 species